GGGCUGGCAGACACGCGCUCGCUCUGCCUACCCUGGCUGGCCCCCACGCUGCCACCCCCGAUUCCCUGAAGGUCCCGCAUCCGGAAAGUGAGUCCUCCCUUCGUAAAAACUUCUGUAUCCCCUCCUCCGUCCCCGCCGAUCCUUUCUUUUCUCCUGCUGAGCCCCUCUCUCGUCGCUCCCUUUGUCCUCCCCUCCCACCGCUGCAAUUCGGCUCCGGGAUCCGCAGCCUGGCGUCCCGGUGUGCACCAUGCCGGCCCUGCUGCUGCUCGGGACCGUCGCGCUGCUAGCCUCCGCAGCGGGCCCGGCGGGGGCGCGCCCAUCCAACGACACAAGCUCAGUGGCCCCGGGCCCGCUGCCCGCGCUACUCGCGCACCUGCGGCGCUUGACCGGGGCUCUGGCGGGCGGCGGGAGCGCGGCAGGUACCAGCGCCAACGCCACCAAGACCAGCCCCGCGAGUGGCACGGGCGCAGCGGCACGGGCGCCUCCUCCGGCCGAGCUCUGCCA
rnacentral:lncRNA from 1 species